ACGUUCCGCUGGUGUUCGGGUUGUCAUGCCAAUGGCAUUGCCCGGUAGCUACGAACGGAAGUGAUAACCGCUGAAAGCAUCUAAGCGGGAAGCACGCCCCAAGAUGAGAUCUCCCGAGAGCUUGACUCUCCUUAAGGCACCAUCAAGACCAGGUGGUUGAUAGGUCAGGUGUGGAAGUGCAGCAAUGCAUUGAGCUAACUGAUACUAAUGAGCCGUGAGGCUUGACCAUA
rnacentral:rRNA from 1 species